GUGCUCGUUUGCGCUCGAUAUCCCGUCGAUGUCGAGUUCGCGAGAUUGUGGGCCGCGGUCGCCUGGCGAUCGAGCGAAUGCUUGGCGCCAGACAUCGUGACGUAGAUGAGACGGUCCAUGACGGCUUUUCUGUUUUGUUAGCGAGCUGCGCUUAACGCAAGUUGACGAGCGUUUGCAGUACUGCGUCCUGCGUCUUGAUCGUCUGUGCGUUCGCCUGGUAAUAGCGCUGCGCGGUGAUCAUGUUUACGAGCUCUGCAGUCAAGUCCACGUUCGA
rnacentral:misc_RNA from 1 species